GCACCAGACAAAAACCACAACUUCUUCCUUUCACUGUCACUGAGGGAUAACUGUACAAACACUUUGGCAUACCGUAGACAUGAAACAGCCAUCCGCCCCCUGCUGAAUUGAGAUGCUGCACAACAGAUUAAUCUUGUGACACAUUUCACCUGUCCUGACCUCCAGCUUGGCAACCAUAAAAUGCACAGAAAAGGGUGCCUGUGUACACUCCGCAGGAAAACUCCCUGCUAUUCCCUCCCAGAGACGCGCGCGCCCGAGCCUCAGCGAGCGCGCAAUCACACCACGCGGUAUGCCCCUAUAUGGACACUGAAAGCUCCGGUAACUGCUGCAACACCAGUGUGGGAUUUCCCACAUUCCCAUGAAGAAAGCAAACCAUGUGUGUGCUCCUAUGUUGUUAUAUAAUAUGACCGCCGCAGGAUUUAUUGGUCGUUGUUAAGUUGUAAAAAUUGAAAAGCAUCAGAA